ACUCAACACGAUUCUUUUAAAAAGGAUGAGUCUAAGUUGUAAAAGCGGGCCGUGUCCCUUCGUGGGAGAGCGGAUUCUUGAUCAACUUGUUAAUCCUAAACUUGAUUUAAAGGAGUUU
rfam:Gramella forsetii KT0803 complete circular genome.